CAAGCUGGCAGUUUAUUGUUUGCAGGCUCAAUUUAUACAGAUUGCGAGGAAGGGGUGGGUCAGAAGGUGAUUGGGCUUUAGGUGGCGCCGGCGGGAAGGUGCAGAGGGGUGAUUGAGCCUUGGCUGGCGCCGGUGGGAGCGGAGGACCCGGAAGAGAAGCAGGGAGUUCGCCAUUUUGUGGGUGGGGGCCCUUGGGAGGGAGGUUUUAAGGGUGGGGCUUUCCCCUGGGGCAGAGGGUGUUUUUUUGAUUAACAAAGGACAGAAAAGCGCAUGUUGCUAGGUAGCUUAACCACUAGUUCUAACUUAGGAGUUUACUAAAUGCGUUUCUUGGUAAUAGCGGAAAACUUGUUUCUAACGCGUGGAUGGAUUCAUUGUUGCUGACUUUACAGGAGAGACUUUACUUAAAGGUUGCUGUUGUCUUAAGGCUUUCGUAACCAAGCCUGCCUAAAGGCCCACAGGUUUGCUCCCAACAGCCACACACAUGAUUGAGUCCAAUUUUAGGCCUUAUGCCGCAGCUCGCGUUGAGUCACACCAUCUGCAGGAUGAGUCAACAGUCCUGGCUUUGCACGCAGCCCGACUGGGCUCCUGGUUCUUGGUGAAUACAGCCACGUCUCUCUCGGUGUUUUGCCCUCCCUUAGGACAGUGGUCGCAUCUGCCUCCUAGGGUGGCAGUGAAGGUGGAAGGAAAGGAAGGCAUGAGUCCUGUAGAUUUUGGGGUCUUGGGGGCAGGAUUCACCACACUGCUGGGUCUCGUGGAGCACUGCCUGCCUCUUGUAGGUCAGAGGGCAGUGUGCGUGCCUGCUGCCCUGGGCCGGAGGCCGUGAGCCAGUGCUGGGAGAAGGGCUGGGGCCAGGGAGCCCACAGCUGCUGUGCGCGUGACCAUACUCGGGCAAGAAGCUGCGCCUCUAUUAAUAUCUGGGGCGCAGGGCGGGUUCGGCGGCUCCUAUAAAGCCAGCCCUGCCAGCCCCAAGCGGCUCCUUCAGCCCCUGAGAACUUUAGCCCCCCUGUUGUGAGAGAAAAAGAAAAGUCUGGUUCCCCCUGAGGCCUCUCCUUGGUGUGCAGUUGGGCAUCUUCUGUGUCCUCACAUGGUCGUCCCUCUGUGCAGGCGUCCCUGUGGCCCUCUGCGUGUCCAGAUCUCCUCUUCUGCAGACACCACGUUGGGUCAAGUCGGAUCAGGGCCCACCCUCACAGCCCCAUCUUAAUCACCUCCAAUGUGGUCACAUUCCGAGGUCCUGAGGGUCGGGGCUUCAACAUACGCGUGGGAGGGUGCUGUUCGGCUCAG